GACGAACGCUGGCGGCGCGCCUAACACAUGCAAGUCGAACGAGCGAGAGAGAGCUUGCUUUCUCGAUCGAGUGGCGAAAGGGUGAGUAACGCGUGAGGAACCUGCCUCAAAGAGGGGGACAACAGUUGGAAACGACUGCUAAUACCGCAUAAGCCCACGACCCGGCCUCGGGUAGAGGGAAAAGGAGCAAUCCGCUUUGAGAUGGCCUCGCGUCCGAUUAGCUAGUUGGUGAGGUAACGGCCCACCAAGGCGACGAUCGGUAGCCGGACUGAGAGGCUGAACGGCCACACUGGGACUGAGACACGGCACAGGCUCCUACGGGAGGAAGCAGUGGGGAAUAUUGCACAAUGGGGGAAACCCUGAUGAAGCGACGCCGCGUGGAGGAAGCAGGUCUUCGGAUUGUAAACUCCUGUUGUUGAGGAAGAUAAUGACGGUACUCAAAAAGGAAGUGACGGCUAACUACGUG
rnacentral:rRNA from 1 species